UGAGGAAUCUUGCACAAUGGGGGGAACCCUGAUGCAGCAACGCCGCGUGAAGGAUGACGGUCUUCGGAUUGUAAACUUCUUUUCUGUGGGAAGAAGCCCGCAAGGGUUGACGGUACCAGAGGAAUCAGACACGGCUAACUACGUGCCAGCAGCCGCGGUAAUACGUAGGUGUCGAGCGUUAUCCGGAAUUACUGGGCGUAAAGGGCACGCAGGCGGUCUGGGAAGUUCGACGUGAAAGCUUCCGGCUUAACUGGGAGAGGUCGUUGGAAACUAUCAGACUGGAGGAAGUGAGAGGGAGGCGGAAUUCCCGGUGUAGUGGUGGAAUGCGUAGAGAUCGGGAAGAACACCAGUGGCGAAAGCGGCCUUCUGGCACUUUACUGACGCUGAGGUGCGAAAGCGUGGGGAGCGAACGGGAUUAGAUACCCCGGUAGUCCACGCUGUAAACGAUGUGAACUUGGUGUAGGCAGUAUUGACCCUGUCUGUACCCAGCCAACGCGAUAAGUUCA
rnacentral:rRNA from 1 species